rnacentral:rRNA from 1 species
ACAGCAGCCGCCACGGUAAUACGGAGGGUGCAAGCGUUAAUCGGAAUUACUGGGCGUAAAGCGCACGCAGGCGGUCUGACAAGUCAGAUGUGAAAUCCCCGGGCUUAACCUGGGAACUGCAUUUGAAACUGUCAGGCUGGAGUCUUGUAGAGGGGGGUGGAAUUCCAGGUGUAGCGGUGAAAUGCGUAGAGAUCUGGAGGAAUACCGGUGGCGAAGGCGGCCCCCUGGACAAAGACUGACGCUCAGGUGCGAAAGCGUGGGGAGCAAACAGGAUUAGAUACCCCGGUAGUCCCUGUCUCUUAUAC